rnacentral:rRNA from 1 species
CCGGCGCACGGGUGAGUAACACGUAUCCAACCUGCCGUCUACUCUUGGACAGCCUUCUGAAAGGAAGAUUAAUACAAGAUGGCAUCAUGAGUCCGCAUGUUCACAUGAUUAAAGGUAUUCCGGUAGACGAUGGGGAUGCGUUCCAUUAGAUAGUAGGCGGGGUAACGGCCCACCUAGUCUUCGAUGGAUAGGGGUUCUGAGAGGAAGGUCCCCCACACUGGUACUGAGACACGGACCAGACUCCUACGGAAGGCAGCAG